ensembl:lncRNA
GGAGAACAAACGCCAAAAUUGACUGUCUUGGUGUAUUUUAGACCGGAUGGUCAGGGUGACUCAUGUCAGGGCUUUGCACUGGACCUGCAGCCUGGAAGCCCGGGACAGACACACAAAACAUCCCUGUGGCUGGGAGGUACCCUUCUGAAGGAGGCAGGAGACAGAUAUUUGCUUUCGCCAGGAUCCUCUCCAUCAGGAUUUUUUUUCUCCCUCAAAUUCAUUGCAAGAUGGAUUUAAAAGAAAAAGUCUGAUUAAGAAAAAUCAGGGACAGAAAAUGCCCCAUAAAACAUGGCCCCCAAAGGCAAGGUGCAGAACCCAUUUGAUUCAAGAUAUAGAUGUCUCCUCCCUGGAUUUUUUUUCCCCUUUGCUUUACAACUCUGAAGACAUCAGGUUAGCAAAAGCUUCCUUCCCAUCGGUGGUCUCAGAGCUCUCACCGCGGACACCCGAGAUUCGAGGAAAGCUCCGGAAAAGACUCCGCUCUCAAUAACAACCCUCUUCCCCAAGGCUCUUGGAAAGGCUGGAUCUGAACAACGCUGCCUGCAUGACCUCAAUUCCCCAACCUAAAUGAAAGCUGAGAAGCACCCAACCAAAACCCGCACCCCCCACCCCAACCACCCUACGGGGCGGGGGGCGGUCCCAUACUCAGGGUGUCUACAAGCUCUACUCAGGGUGUCUACAGUCCUGGAGCUGCUUUUAUUUUUAUUAAUGUAUUUUUCAGGCCGAAAAAAGGCACAUGCACACACGCACACCGCACACAGGUUCACACCCAGUGGGUUCUGGCAGGUACAGAGGAGACCUGGUGCUCCAGACUGUAAAGUGUCUUGAUCCCAGCCUGGCCUCCCUCCCCCAGUGAUUAAUAAAAGACCGGCCAUGGGGAGCCGGCGUUCUGGUUUUCAUUGUACAGGCUGCACUGGGUGACACAGGACAUGUGGAAAAUUUUUGAGAGCGCUGCUGCGGUGAAUGGCGUGGAGGGGGGGAGGGAGCGC